UACAGAGGGUGCAAGCGUUGUUCGGAAUUAUUGGGCGUAAAGCGCGUGUAGGCGGCUUUGCAAGUCGGGUGUGAAAGCCCUCAGCUUAACUGAGGAAGUGCGCCCGAAACUGCAGAGCUUGAGUACCGGAGAGGAUGGUGGAAUUCCCCAAGUAGAGGUGAAAUUCGUAGGUAUGGGGAGGAACACCGGUGGCGAAGGCGACCAUCUGGACGGAUACUGACGCUGAGACGCGAAAGCGUGGGUAGCAAACAGG
rnacentral:rRNA from 1 species